rnacentral:tRNA from 1 species
AGUAUUGUAUUUUAUGUAAAAUAUUAAAUUGCAAAUUUAAAGACAGGGGUUUACCCUCAAUACUU